AUGAAAUCCUUGAGUGUUUCACUAGUGGUCCUGUGGCUCCAGGGUGAGAAGCCAGCAGAAGGUGCAGCAGAGCCCAGAAUCCCUCACUGUCUCAGAGGGAGCCAUGGCCUCUCUCAACUGCACUUUCAGUGAUCGUUCUUCUGACAACUUCAGGUGGUACAGACAGCAUUCUGGGAAAGGCCUUGAGGUGCUGGUGUCCAUCUUCUCUGAUGGUGAAAAGGAAGAAGGCAGUUUUACAGCUCACCUCAAUAGAGCCAGCCUGCAUGUUUUCCUACACAUCAGAGAGCCGCAACCCAGUGACUCUGCUCUCUACCUCUGUGCAGUGAGCA